AGAGUUUGAUCAUGGCUCAGAAUGAACGCUGGCGGCGUGCUUUACACAUGCAAGUCGAGCGAGGCGGGUAGCAAUACCCAGUCGAGCGGCGAACGGGUGAGUAACGCGUGGAUUAUCUGCCCUGAGGUGGGGGAUAACCCGGGGAAACUCGGGCUAAUACCGCAUAUGACCGUGAGGUCAAAGGGGGGUCGCAAGAUCUCUCGCCAUAGGAGGAGUCCGCGUACGAUUAGCUAGUUGGUAGGGUAAUGGCCGACCAAGGCGACGAUCGUUAGCCGGCCUGAGAGGGUGAUCGGCCACACUGGAACUGAGACACGGUCCAGACUCCUACGGGAGGCAGCAGUGGGGAAUUUUGCGCAAUGGGGGAAACCCUGACGCAGCAACGCCGCGUGGAGGAUGAAGUCCCUUGGGACGUAAACUCCUUUCGAUCGGGACGAAUAAAUGACGGUACCGGAAGAAGAAGCCCCGGCUAACUCCGUGCCAGCAGCCGCGGUAAUA
rnacentral:rRNA from 1 species